rnacentral:misc_RNA from 1 species
AAAGUCGUAACAAGGUCUCCGUAGGUGAACCUGCGGAGGGAUCAUUCACAUGAUUACCUUUUUCAACAAACCGUGAACUUUAUUUUACUAUUCGUGUGGUAAUUUGACUUAGGUCAAUUUAUUCACAUUGUCAUUCGAUGAACAUUAGAUAGCUGGCUUGAAAUUGAUUAUUUCUUUCUCAGCUGAUUGUUUGUAUUGACUAAACAUCUUACAACAAUCACCAUAUAAACAUAGAAACAACUCUAUGCCCUGGAUAUCUUGGUUCUC